GUCCUACGGGGGGCAGCAGUAGGGAAUUUUCGUCAAUGGGCGCAAGCCUGAACGAGCAAUGCCGCGUGAACGAGGAAGGUCUUCGGAUCGUAAAGUUCUGUUGAAGGGGAAAAAGAGCGGAGAGAGGAAAUGGUCUCCGAUUGAUAUUACCCUUCGAGGAAGUCACGGCUAACUACGUGCCAGCAGCCGCGGUAAUACGUAGGUGGCGAGCGUUAUCCGGAAUGAUUGGGCGUAAAGGGUGCGUAGGCGGCCGGCUAAGUCUGGAGUGGAAGGUACCGGCUCAACCGGUACAGGCUCUGGAAACU
rnacentral:rRNA from 1 species